UUUGUGUAGCAGAUAAAAAUACGUUUUUUUUUAAAUGAAAAGAUUAGGUCUCGAUGUUUUGCCAAGGCUGCACUGCAGCAUCUACUCACAGGUAUUAUCCCACUACUGGACAGCACGGGGGAUUUGACCUGCUUCGUUUCCGACCUGGUUCACCCCUCCUUAGACAACCUGGUGGUCCCGGGCUCCCCCUGGAACACCAUAUCGAUACCGAACUUAGCGUGGACACCCGUUCGACUUACAGUGCUGCAGCCCAGAGCUCCUCAGCUCACUUGAUCCACCAACCUCAGCCUCCCAGUGACUUGGAUUACAGGCACAUGCCACCGCACCCGGCGAGAUAUUCAGCUGCAGGUAAAGGUGAUAGAGGUAGGAGUCUGUGACGUAAUUACGAAGGACGGUUGUGGGCUAAAGGCCUUUGCAUGGGAAAAACUAAGAAGUGCUGCUUCUAUAAAGCUAGUGCGUACACUGUCAUUGGAUGUCCAGUUGGGCCCUUGGUAGGUUAAGGUUGAUUUGAAGAUAUUGGUACAUAUGCAGAAACACACAUGAAAUGUGAUGUCAUGCAAAAACAGGUAAAAAUAUAUAAUCUGCCUAAAUAUAUCAUCAAAGGUGUAUCAUCAAAAGUUGUACACAACAAAUAGGCAAAACACCAAAUCAAUAGAUAUGCAUAUCAAAUGCCUUUAGUGAUGGAGAAUGUCAUUUGCCUAGUUUGAGAGCUCUUGCCCAAAGCAAUUAUGCAGUCUAAAAUAUCCACAGUGUGAUUUCAAUUGUUUUCUGAUUAUUGUCAAAUAUAUUACUUAUAGUAUUUUAAAUUAUGUAACAACAUUCCAACCUUGUAUAACUCAAUCUAGUACAAACAUAUGACAUGAUUCCACUUUUGUAUUCGUUUGCAUCACCUUCAAUAAGGGACUUAAUUUGAAGGUGAAUCUCAAAUUCCAAUGAUUUGGCUAAUCAUUAUUGUGGCUCAUUUCACACAGGUAAAUGAACCUAUCCGAACUGUCUGUCUGUCGAUGGUGAUGGGAGAGCUGGCCUCAGUUUCAUGCUAAGCAUCGCGCUAGCACUUACUCCUCCCUCAACGGUCCGUGCUGCAUUUUGUUACCGGUAUCCACACAUCUCGUCAGUAGUAGUCAGUAUAAUUCUCGAUUAUCAGAAGGUAUAACGGUAAUUGUUUUUGGAAAGCUGAAAAAAAGUGUCGACUUUUCAUAGUCUGAUAAACAUUUCGAAGUGACAAUUUGUGUAGCAGAUAAAAAUACGUUUUUUUAAAUGAAAAGAUGUUUUGCCAAGGCUGCACUGCAGCAUCUACUCACAGGUAUUAUCCCACUACUGGACAGCACGGGGGAUUUGACCUGCUUCGUUUCCGACCUGGGCCGGUUCACCCCUCCUUAGACAACCUGGUGGUCCCGGGCUCCCCAGGAACACCAUAUCGAUACCGAACUUAGCGUGGACACCCGUUCGACAUAGAGUGCUGCAGCCCAGAGCUCCUCAGCUCACUUGAUCCACCAACCUCAGCCUCCCAGUGACUUGGAUUACAGGCACAUGCCACCGCACCCGGCGAGAUAUUCAGCUGCAGGUAAAGGUGAUAGAGGUAGGAGUCUGUGACGUAAUUACGAAGGAGGUUGUAGGCUAAAGGCCUUUGCGUGGGAAAAACUAAGAAGUGCUGCUUCUAUAAGCUAGUGCGUACACUGUCAUUGGAUGUCCAGUUGGGCCCUUGGUAGGUUAAGGUUGAUUUGAAGAUAUUGGUACAUAUGCAGAAACACACAUGAAAUGUGAUGUCAUGCAAAAACAGGUACAAAUAUAUAAUCUGCCUAAAUAUAUCAUCAAAGGUGUAUCAUCAAAAGUUGUACACAACAAAUAGGCAAAACACCAAAUCAAUAGAUAUGCAUAUCAAAUGCCUUUAGUGAUGGAGAAUGUAAUUUGCAUAGUUUGAGAGCUCUUGCCCAAAGCAAUUAUGCAGUCUAAAAUAUCCACAGUGUGAUUUCAAUUGUUUUCUGAUUAUUGUCAAAUAUAUUACUUAUAGUAUUUUAAAUUAUGUAACAACAUUCCAACCUUGUAUAACUCAAUCUAGUACAAACAUAUGACAUGAUUCCACUUUUUGUAUUCGUUUGCAUCACCUUCAAUAAGGGACUUAAUUUGAAGGUGAAUCUCAAAUUCCAAUGAUUUGGCUAAUCAUUAUUGUGGCUCAGGUAAAUGAACCUAUCCGAACUGUCUGUCUGUCGAUGGUGAUGGGAGAGCUGGCCUCAGUUUCAUGCUAAGCAUCGCGCUAGCACUUACUCCUCCCUCAACGGUCCGUGCUGCAUUUUGUUACCGGUAUCCACACAUCUCCUCAGUAGUAGUCAGUAUAAUUCUCGAUUAUCAGAAGGUAUAACGGUAAUUGUUUUUGGAAAGCUGAAAAAAAGUGUCGACUUUUCAUAGUCUGAUAAACAUUUCGAAGUGACAAUUUGUGUAGCAGAUAAAAAUACGUUUUUUUUUAAAUGAAAAGAUGUUUUGCCAAGGCUGCACUGCAGCAUCUACGCACAGGUAUUAUCCCACUACUGGACAGCACGGGGGAUUUGACCUGCUUCGUUUCCGACCUGGGCCGGUUCACCCCUCCUUAGACAACCUGGUGGUCCCGGGCUCCCCCAGGAACACCAUAUCGAUACCGAACUUAGCGUGGACACCCGUUCAUCAUAGAGUGCUGCACCCCAGAGCUCCUCAGCUCACUUGAUCCACCAACCUCAGCCUCCCAGUGACUUGGAUUACAGGCACAUGCCACCGCACCCGGCGAGAUAUUCAGCUGCAGGUAAAGGUGAUAGAGGUAGGAGUCUGUGACGUAAUUACGAAGGAGGUUGUAGGCUAAAGGCCUUUGCGUGGGAAAAACUAAGAAGUGCUGCUUCUAUAAGCUAGUGCGUACACUGUCAUUGGAUGUCCAGUUGGGCCCUUGGUAGGUUAAGGUUGAUUUGAAGAUAUUGGUACAUAUGCAGAAACACACAUGAAAUGUGAUGUCAUGCAAAAACAGGUACAAAUAUAUAAUCUGCCUAAAUAUAUCAUCAAAGGUGUAUCAUCAAAAGUUGUACACAACAAAUAGGCAAAACACCAAAUCAAUAGAUAUGCAUAUCAAAUGCCUUUAGUGAUGGAGAAUGUAAUUUGCAUAGUUUGAGAGCUCUUGCCCAAAGCAAUUAUGCAGUCUAAAAUAUCCACAG
ensembl:lncRNA